CGACCGCUGGCGGCAGGCCUACCACAUGCACGUCGAGCGAGGACUUCGGUCCUAGCGGCGGACGGGUGAGUAACGCGUGGGAACGUGCCCUUUGCUUCGGAAUAGCCCUGGGAAACUGGGAGUAAUACCGGAUGAGCCCUUUGGGGGAAAGAUUUAUCGGCGAAGGAUCGGCCCGCGUUGGAUUAGGUAGUUGGUGGGGUAAUGGCCUACCAAGCCGACGAUCCAUAGCUGGUUUGAGAGGAUGAUCAGCCACACUGGGACUGAGACACGGCCCAGACUCCUACGGGAGGCAGCAGUGGGGAAUCUUAGACAAUGGGGGAAACCCUGAUCUAGCCAUGCCGCGUGAGCGAUGAAGGCCUUAGGGUUGUAAAGCUCUUUCAGCUGGGAAGAUAAUGACGGUACCAGCAGAAGAAGCCCCGGCUAACUCCGUG
rnacentral:rRNA from 1 species